rnacentral:lncRNA from 1 species
GGGAUCCGGCAAAAGUUUCUUCCUGGGCUUUUUUUGGAGGGAGCUGGGGUGGGGGUCUUCUCUCCCAAGGUGGCGAACCAGCCCUGGGAGGUGAGGACGUGACACCCGGCCCCUAGAUGGCAAGAAGGCCCUUGAUGGGCCCCCACCCCCCACCCCCCCGGGGAGCCAGGUCUGGGGGUGGAGGCAGCAUUCGUCUGCACCAAAGUCUGCUCCCAGGUCAGAGUCAGCCUGGGGUCAGGAGACUGCUGGAAGCCGGGGAAGGAAGGGAGCCAAGGAAAUCCAGUGUGCCUCUGCUGCCGGCGGGAAGGGGCCUUUCCGGGGAAUGAGGUGCCUGCCCCUUGGAGAGAGAAGAGCCAGCCCCCCUUGGAGACCAGAGAAAGAGCAACAAGUAGCUGCCACCCCCACAGAGCUAUCAGGAGAUUCUGCAUCUGAAAGAGAAAGACAGCUGGGGUUCCAGCCACCCCCACCGUAUAUGGGUUCCUGGGCCUUAGACCAGACCAAAGCCAUAGUCUCAACCUACGUUGCAGCGGCAGCAACACCAGAUCCAGGCUGGGGAUGGAACCUGCAUCCUGGCACUGCAGAGACACCGCCACCAAUCCUGUUACACCACAGUGGGACCUCCUGGGGCUCGAAUUUUCUAUGGAUUCACCACGCACCCCAUCCUCUUCUUUACGAAUGUUCCAGGAAAUCUAGUCUACAGCGAGCUGGGCAGCAGAGGCAGAUCUUCACAUGCUACCAUUGUAUCAUCGACAGAGUGGGUCCCUUUUGCUGAUGUGGGAAAGGAGAACAGGAACAGGUCUGCGACCCUCUGUGACAUAUUGUGGGACUCUGCAGGGAGUCUUGGGGAAGGUCUUGAAAGGUCAACUAUUGCUUCCUCUGCAUGAAAGCAAUUCGGUCUUACUUAUCAGAAACCUGUACUUGUCACAGUCUUUCCAUGAAUCUUCUUCAAGAUGAAACACUUUUGCAGGAACACUUUUGCAAAAGCAUCAGAGUAAAACAGUAAGGGUCCGAGGAAACAAAUCUGACUAGGAUCCAUGAACAUGAAGGUUCAAUCCCUGGCCUGGCUCAGUGGGUUAAGGAUCUGGCGUUGCCGUGAGCUGUGGUGUAGGUCGCAGAUGCGGCUCGGAUCUGGCAUUGCUGUGGCUGUGGUGUAGGUUGGCAGCUGUGGCUCAGAUUCCACCCCUAGCCUGGGAACUUCCAUGUGCUGCGGGUCCGGCCCUAAAAAGCAAAAAAAGAAAAAAAAUCCUAAUUUUAUUAAAAGCUUAAUAUCUCUCUUUUAUAAAGAGAAAGAACACAACUUUUCAGAUAUUCCAGAAACUCUGGAAAAUCCUGAAGUGAGUUCAAUGUCAAUAAGAAUUCAUUUAGAAUUUCAUUUUUUUAAGAAAGUUUGUCAAAAAUAUCAAAAGGUUUUAAAACACUGGCUUAAAUAAAAUCAUAGUCCCCUGUGAAACAAUACUUAGUUAUCUAUUUACUCAAAGUGACAAAGACUUCAAAGGCAAAUGCAGAAAGUUAGAGUUGCUUAGCUAUUUUAACAGAGAAGCCUCGGUUUCUUAAGUAAUCAAAGGCAUGAUAGGAGUUUCCCGGGGUGACUCAGCAGUUUCGAUCCCUGGCCUCGCUCAGUGGGUUAAGGAUCCAGCGCUGCCUUGACCUGUGGUGUAGGUCGCAGAUGCGGCUCAGAUCUGGAGUUGCUGUGGCUGUGGUGCAGGCCGGUGGCUACAGCUCUGAUGAGACCCCUAGCCUGGGAACCUCCACAUGCUGCGGGUGUGGCCCUAAAAAACAAAACAAAGAAAAAAAAGGCAUGAUAAAGACAUGAAGCCCAGGACGUUAUUUUGAUAAACCACAGAAUCUUUGUUUACUAGGCAUAUUAUUUAAAAGGGAAAGGAAAACCUAUCACAACUUUAUCAGUAUUAUCUUCGCAUUUGUCCAAGAAAAUUUUGAAAUGAAAAAAUCAAAACGAGGAGUUCCCAUCAUGGCUCAGUGGUUAAUGAAUCUGACUACAAACCAUGAGGUUGCAGGUUCGAUCCCUGGCCUCGCUCAGUGGGUUAAGGAUCCUCCACUGCCAUGAGCUGGGAUGUAAGUCUCAGAUGCGGCUCAGACCUGACAUUGCUGUGGCUGUGGCUGGCAGCUACAGCUCCGAUUAGACCCCUAGCCUGGGGGAACCUCCAUGUGCCACAAGUGCAGCCCUAGAAAAGACAAAAAAAAAAAAAAAAAAACUAGCAGAGGAAUAAAAAUUGUUUUAAUUUUUACAUAAAUGUACUAUUGCUAUUAAAGACUGCUUUUCAUUAAGCCAAUUAAAUAGGGCUCUUUUACAAAUGAAUUUUGGCAAUACAACCCUGAGGUACCAAAAACAACAAAAAAAAUCACAUAUCCAUAAUCUAUAUCCACACAAGUAUGACCCCAUAGUUUUUUUUGGUUUUUUUCUCAUUUCAAAACUUUGGCCAUGACAGAGCAACAUAAAACCCACUAGUUUAUAAAUGUGUUGAAUCCUGACAGAACAAGUUAAGAUUACACUUUCAAAUAGCUAAAGCUUUUUACUAAUAUUUGUGGAGAAGACUUAAAAUUGGUUUUCCCUUGACAAGUAAUCUUACAGAGGCUGUGGACUAGAUUUUGGGCAAGGGACUUUUGACAGCCAUCGGUACUCUUGAAAGCCUCUUUCCCCCUGCUUUUUUUUUUUUUUUUUUUUUUCUUUUCCAAUCUCAGCCAGUUGUGGGCAGUGCUUACAUUUCCUACACAUGAUGAGAUUUACAGCUUGAAGGGACGGUGAAAGAAUGCAAGUUUUCUCCUAGGAGUUUUGGGGUUCAUUUCUCUAGGGUCAUAAAUCUGGGGUGAUGAUUAUUUAAGUUUUUCCUUUGCCUUAGGGUUCUGGGGACUCUGGUUCAUUGUCAAUCAUGGUAAAUCUUCCCCUUUUGUGUCCUCACUUUCCAUCUGCCUCUUAACCUAAUCAGGCUCUAUCACAAGUGCUCAGACCUUAACCUGUGGCAGCCUGCAUGCCCCUAGGUUUCCAAAAAAGGAACUCCGCGUCUCCAGCUUAUUAUUCUGCUCUUCUACCCUGUCUGCCAGAUCCAAAGCCAGCAGAGCCGUGGACACUUGCAUGUCCUUCUCUGACCUUAGCUCUUCUUCCAGCUUCUGCCUCUAGCUGGGCAUCCGAGACCAGCGCACUGCCCACAGUAGGGACCAGCCUACUAUCCAUUUCUCUUCUAUGUCCCAUGGCCCUACAUGCCGUUCAUCAGGCAAGCAUGUUAAAGCAGCUGGCAUUUCCCUGGGUAUCCAGAUUUUUCCCACGGAUAUUUCGUUCCCAAGAGACAUGUCUCUGGCGUUCUGGCUGGCUCGCCAGUUGUUGGUUCUCAAAUGGCCCCUGUACAUAGAUGGCAAAGAGAGACCAAGGAAAGAGGCAGCCACUUCCGACGGGUGGGUGACAGUUUAAUAAGUGAGGGAACUUGCAUACCAGGCUUGUCUGGAGGGGCUGCAAGCUGAGUGGGUCUCCACAUCCACCUGCCAAAUCCCUGCCAAAUCUCAAAUUUCAUGUCGAGGCUUUAAAUGGAUUCAGUCUCACCAUCUUACUCCCAUCAACUCCCUUAAAAUAGCAUCUAGUGUGGGAAUGUGGGUGAUACAUGUCUUCCAAGGACAGAGCAUGGAGUCUCUAAUUUUCUGGGUCCAGCUGAUGAGUCAUCCAGCAGUCAUGUCUUCUCAAUGACUUCCUCCCACAGGCAGAGAGACCCACAUCCCCAAGGGCCUGGGCAUUUGGGGAUCGGAUGGGAGGAUCAGGGGAGAAUGGCCAUGACGGUGGACUUCGUCACUGAGCACCCCACUCGGUGCUCGACACUCUGUGGGUAUCAUCUGUAACAGUGAGAGAGUUGUACUUUCCAGCCCAUUUCACAGAUGAGAAAGCUUAGUCCACACAGGAGAGCUACCUUGCCCUAGGUCUCACAGCUAAAAAAUGCCAGAGCUGAUAAUCAAAUCCAGGAAUGUUUGAGUCUAGAAGAUAUGGUCCAUGAUCCCAAUAAAAAAAUGCUUCUGCCAGAUCUCAAUUGUGCAGACUGUCAGGGCCCCCCCUUUGACUAUGAAACAUCUAAGAUACAGAAUAUCCUUCAAGAAGUACGGCUGUUCAGUUUCCUUCAAUCAACCUGAUGGCUAAUAAUUGUUUUUUGUGGGGUUUUGGGGGGUUGGAGGGUUUUUUUGCUUUUUAGGGCUGCACAUGAAAAAAUUUAUUUUGGGAGGCUGAGGCCUAUGGAAGUUCCCAGGCUAGGGGUCAAAUCAGAGCUACAGCUGCCGUCCUACAUCACAGCCACAGCCAUACCAGAUCCAAGCCGAGUCUUCGACCUACUUCACAGCUCAUGGCAAUGCCGGGCCCUUAGCCCACCGAGUCAGGCCGGGUAUCAAACCCAUAUCCUCAUGGAUCUUAGUUGGGUUCUUUAACCUCUGAGCCACAGAGGGAACUCCUGAUGGCUAAUAAGAUGUUGCUACGUGGCUGUUGUUAAGGACUCCUUUAACUAGAUAAGGCUCAUUUGCAAUUAGCAGUACGGUUUACAUACAAGCAAAAGAUAGUCCAGGAUCCUUAAAAAAGCUUUUAUGGUGUUCAGUUGGUUAAGAAUUUCCCUCUUCAAUCAGAUUUACAUACCUGUUCCAAUCCCUUAGCUCUGUGGUCUGUGUAGGGGUCCUUGGGGAUUGGGUUUAUUUAUUUAUUUUUUUAAUUUAUUUUUUUUAUUUUUUGUCUUUUGUUGUUGUUGUUGUUGCUAUUUCUUGGGCCACUCCCGCAGCAUAUGGAGGUUCCCAGGCUAGGGGUUGAAUCGGAGCUGUAGCCACCGGCCUACACCAGAGCCAGAGCAACGCGGGAUCCAAGCCGCGUCUGCAACCUACACCACAGCUCACGGCAACGCCGGAUCGUUAACCCACUGAGCAAGGGCAGGGACCGAACCGCAAACUCAUGGUUCCUAGUCGGAUUUGUUAACCACUGCGCCACGACGGGAACUCCUGGGGAUUGGGUUUAGAUUGGGUCUGUUUGGUCCAGAUUUUCAGGUUCAGCCUUAAUUUUAUGUAAAGACGGCCUUUUUUGAUGCAGGCAAAAUAUUAAGUGCAUGGUUAAACACUAAAAAAAAAAGUCCACAUAAAUUCAUUUGCAACUAAAAUCAUUGAAAGCGCUAAUAGACAAUGUGGCCAGAAUUUUGCUGUGGUACCUUGUUCACUGAUGAGUGAAUAAAUGAAUGCAUGGAAGAAUUCACUUUCUUUGACACUGAGGCUGCUUUUCUGAGAUGCAAGGAAGGG